UGGGUUCCUAGGGACAUGCUCCUUGGCAACGGUUGCUAGGCCGUGGAAUUACGUCACUUCCGGCGGGUGGGCCGGGGCAUUUCCGCGAGGCCCUCGGGCGCGCGCGCCGGGACCGAGCUCCCCGGCGGCAGUUCCCGGCUCACGUGCACAGUGCGUUCGCGGGUCCGGAGCCUCAGCGAGGGCUGGAGGCCGCUGUACUUAAAUGUCAGCUGGCAAGGAAAAUCCGAAAGGAAAAAAAUGAAAUUCCUCUUGCCCUGGAAACUUAGUUGCCUGUUCAAACAUCUUGGAAGAAACCAACUACAGAUUUAGCAUCAGUCUUAGAGCAAAAUAAAACAAAACAAACAAACAAAAGCAAAUUCCGUUUUAGGCAUCUCCUGUUUGCCUUGCCCUGUACUGGCUGCUGGGGAUGCAAAUGAAGCCAGGAAUUACUGGGCUCCUGUUCUUAAGGAACAGAGUCCAGUGCUGAUAAAGAGACGAUUGAAAGGCAACUCCAAUACAACUAUCAUAAAAAGGCCCAGUGAUGGGGGAGCCCAGAUGAAGUAUCCCGAGUUUAUUUGAGACUGAAGGGACUGUACUAUCAGGAAAGUUUCCAUCAAAGUGAUGUUUAAGGAUCAGUAAAAAAAAUUAGCCAAAGGGCAGAGGGAUCAGUAAAAAUUAGCCAAAUGGGCAGAGGGAACAGAACAUCACAAGAUUAAUCCAUUGCUGGCUGCCUUCUGACUAUUGAACCAUUAAGCAGAGGCAUCCUGGGGGGCUCUUGGAGGAAACAGAAGACCCAUCCCAGCCCACAGAUGCUCAUGAUGAGUUGAAGGCGGCAACACUUAAAAACUUUGAAAAGUUCCUCCAGUUGUGACAACCAAAACAUGUCUCCAGACACUGCAAAAUGUCCCCCCGGGGGAGAGGGCAGGGAUGACAAAACUGUUCCUGGUUGAGAAUCACUAAUUCAACAGAUGAGGAAGUAGAGACUCAAGCAUCUUAACCAACCCAAGGGUCUGUGAAAGACAUUGCAAAACAUACAAAUAAAGCAGCCAUCAAAAACAGGGAUUCUGGGAUGCCUGGGUGGCUCAGCAGUUGGGUGUCUGCCUUCAGCUCAGGGUGUGAUCCUGGAGUCCCUGAG